rnacentral:tmRNA from 1 species
GGGGUCGAUUUGGUUUUGACAGCGAGAUUAACCAAAUGGUAAGCACGUCGAGCGCUGGACUAUAGCUCGUAAAUCUCAUGAUUCAUCUUUUUUAAACGGCGAGAAUAACUACGCCCUAGCUGCAUAAUCUGAAUUAUAGUAAGAUUACGCCUCGGUCUGCAAGGCAGACAAGCAGGAAGUCACUCGAGAGCCUUGGUUUACGGCAAUCGAUUUAGUGGCUUCGUAAAAGUAAACCUAGCGAAGAUAGGGUCUUGAUAUCUUUGCGAAAUUUAAUCGAGAAUAAGGUAAUACUUGGUAGUUUCUGACCGGGUAUUGCACGAAAAUCAAGUAGAAACUAAACGUGUAGAAAGCUGUUUUGUUACUUGUUUGGACGGCGGUUCGAGUCCGCCCGACUCCACGA